rnacentral:lncRNA from 1 species
AGAAGCACUCUAGCUACAGAUUAGAAUGAUGACAAGAGUAAUACCUUCCUAGUGAAGAUGACUUUUAUUUCAGGACUAUAUUAAGUUUCCCAACUUCUGUCAUGAUAUAGUCCAAAGAGAACCUGGACCACGCAGACAUCAAACAGAACAUGACACUGACCCAUUCUAUCAGUGACGUUGUGCUGAUUGCACAGGACAGAUGAGAGGCUCGUAUACUAGAAGUCUUGAUAACUUGUUUUCUAGUUUCACAUGUCCACAGAUGAAGAAAAAUUGUGCCCCAGCAAGGAUUAUACCCAGAGCCUCAUCCAUUCAUACCUGAUUUAGAUACUUAGAUGAUGAGUAAUAGAAAAGCAUCAUCUUUAUGUAAAUCACUGUACUUGGCUUCGUGAGAAAUAUAAAAAUGAAUUGCUUCAAUCCCUGGACUCAAGGAUCCUGUGUUACCAAGGUGGUUAUCAAACCUGGGUCAAAGUUGAAUCACCUGAGGAUCUUUUAGAACAUACACAGUCAUAUGAUACUUCAAAAUCUGUGAUUCCAUGAAGCCAAGAGUAGCUCUUCAACAGGAAAUGAAUGAGUGCUUCAGCUUCUGAUCCCAUUAGUAAGAAAAUACAGUCUUAUGAGCAAUGAUGGAGCUGCAUCUCUUAGGGGCAUUUGAUUCCCAAGAGACCAAAGAGCAAAGAGAAUGUCAAUUUAAAAAAAUCAAAUGUUUCCAUGACUUAGCUAUUUAACUGCUUUAAAAUGAAUGAAUGCUGCUUCAAGUUCUUUCAAAUACCCCACAUCUUGGCAACAACGAAAGGAAUUAACAUGAAGAAAAUUUACAAUCUUUCAUCACAUCGAACAAUGUCCCACAUUUGAAAAGUUCACAGCACAGAUUUCUGGUUACUGAAAGAAAGGAAAGACCUUCUUUGGAUUUGAAUAAACAGAUGGACUUUCUUCUC